GAUGAACGCUGGCGGCGUGCCUAAUACAUGCAAGUCGAGCGAACGGACGAGAAGCUUGCUCCUCUGAUGUUAGCGGCGGACGGGUGAGUAACACGUGGAUAACCUACCUAUAAGACUGGGAUAACUUUGGGAAACCGGAGCUAAUACCGGAUGAUAUUUUGAACCGCAUGGUUCAAAAGUGAAAGUCGGUCUUGCUGUCACUUAUAGACUGAUCCGCGCUGCAUUAGCUAGUUGGUAAGGUAACGGCUUACCAAGGCAACGAUGCAUACCCGACCUGAGAGGGUGGUUGGCCACCUUGGAACUGAGGCAGAGUCCAGACUCCUACGGGAGGAAGCAGUAGGGAAUCUUCCGCAAUGGGCGAAAGCCUGACAGAGCAACGCCGGGGGAGGGAUGAAGGACUACGGAUCGUAGAACUCUGUAAUUAGGAGAGAACAUAAGUGUAAGUACCUGUGAACAUAUUGACGGUACCGAGUGAGAAAGCCACGGCUAACUACGUG
rnacentral:rRNA from 1 species